AACGAACGCUGGCGGCAUGCCUAACACAUGCAAGUCGAACGAGAUCUUCGGGUCUAGUGGCGCACGGGUGCGUAACGCGUGGGAAUCUGCCCUUUGGUCCGGAAUAACAGUUGGAAACGACUGCUAAUACCGGAUGAUGACGAAAGUCCAAAGAUUUAUCGCCAGAGGAUGAGCCCGCGUAGGAUUAGCUAGUUGGUGUGGUAAAGGCGCACCAAGGCGACGAUCCUUAGCUGGUCUGAGAGGAUGAUCAGCCACACUGGGACUGAGACACGGCCCAGACUCCUACGGGAGGCAGCAGUGGGGAAUAUUGGACAAUGGGCGAAAGCCUGAUCCAGCAAUGCCGCGUGAGUGAUGAAGGCCUUAGGGUUGUAAAGCUCUUUUACCCGGGAUGAUAAUGACAGUACCGGGAGAAUAAGCUCCGGCUAACUCCGUGCUAGCAGCCGCCGUAA
rnacentral:rRNA from 1 species